GACGAACGCUGGCGGCGUGCUUAACACAUGCAAGUCGAACGGAAAGGCCCUGCUUUUGUGGGGUGCUCGAGUGGCGAACGGGUGAGUAACACGUGAGUAACCUGCCCUUGACUUUGGGAUAACUUCAGGAAACUGGGGCUAAUACCGGAUAGGAGCUCCUGCUGCAUGGUGGGGGUUGGAAAGUUUCGGCGGUUGGGGAUGGACUCGCGGCUUAUCAGCUUGUUGGUGGGGUAGUGGCUUACCAAGGCUUUGACGGGUAGCCGGCCUGAGAGGGUGACCGGCCACACUGGGACUGAGAUACGGCCCAGACUCCUAUGGGAGGCAGCAGUGGGGAAUAUUGCACAAUGGGCGGAAGCCUGAUGCAGCAACGCCGCGUGCGGGAUGACGGCCUUCGGGUUGUAAACCGCUUUCGCCUGUGACGAAGCGAGAGUGACGGUAAUGGGUAAAGAAGCACCGGCUAACUACGUG
rnacentral:rRNA from 1 species